rnacentral:rRNA from 1 species
CGCGUAGGCGGCCGCUUGCGUCGGAUGUGAAAGCCCGGGGCUCAACCCCGGAACGGCAUCCGAUACGGGGCGGCUCGAGACCGAGAGAGGUGAGUGGAAUACCCAGUGUAGAGGUGAAAUUCGUAGAUAUUGGGUGGAACACCGGUGGCGAAAGCGGCUCACUGGCUCGGUUCUGACGCUGAGGCGCGAAAGCGUGGGGAGCAAACA